AAACCAUGAUAGUUGCAAAGCCUAAGCAUUUCUUUGAAACACUCUCACGCAUCGUAAAGAGAUUCCCCAUCUUUUUGAAUGAAUCGUGUGAUUUGAUUCCUUAACU
rnacentral:snoRNA from 2 species